rnacentral:tRNA from 1 species
GGUGCACGGCGAUGCCGGCGAUCGCCUCGCGGCGCGCGUAGCGCGCCUGCGCGACGCGAAUCGUCGUGCCGCCGCGUUCGGUUACGUAGGUGCGCCAC